GGUCCCCGUAUUUUUUUAAUUAAGCAAUGUGAUGUUGUAGUGUUUACUGGGUUUACGGGGUUUAGGGUGUAUUAGGCUUUGGAUUAGUAUUCAAAUUCUCGGCGCUAGAGAGAAUUGCAUGAUAGUGUUUUGUACUUGAUUUGUGCAAGUUAUGGAAGCUCAAAAAAGGGGAUCAGCGAAAGGAAAGCGCAAGGUCGAGAGUACUGUGCAACAAACAAGAGUUGGCCGAGAUGCAUUUUUUAAUUUCAUGAAAAAAGAACGACAUGAAAUGGGGAAAGUGGCCAAUGCAAAGUUGGACCAUAAGGUACAAGAAGAGAUUAGUAAUAAGUGGAGGAAAUUGAACACU